GCAUUUCGCUUACACCGAAAAUAUAUCUGUUUAAAUCAGAUCAUUUUGA
rnacentral:tRNA from 1 species